rnacentral:rRNA from 1 species
CAGCCGCCACGGUAAUACAGAGGGUGCGAGCGUUAAUCGGAUUUACUGGGCGUAAAGCGUGCGUAGGCGGCUUCUUAAGUCGGAUGUGAAAUCCCUGAGCUUAACUUAGGAAUUGCAUUCGAUACUGGGAAGCUAAAGUAUGGGAGAGGAUGGUAGAAUUCCAGGUGUAGCGGUGAAAUGCGUAGAGAUCUGGAGGAAUACCGAUGGCGAAGGCAGCCAUCUGGCCUAAUACUGACGCUGAGGUACGAAAGCAUGGGGAGCAAACAGGAUUAGAUACCCCCGUAGUCCCUGUCUCUUAUAC